UACGUAGGGUGCGAGCGUUGUCCGGAAUUAUUGGGCGUAAAGAGCUCGUAGGCGGUCUGUCGCGUCUGCUGUGAAAACCCCGAGGCUCAACCUCGGGCCUGCAGUGGGUACGGGCAGACUAGAGUGCGGUAGGGGAGAAUGGAAUUCCUGGUGUAGCGGUGGAAUGCGCAGAUAUCAGGAGGAACACCGAUGCGAAGGCAGUUCUCUGGGCCGUAACUGACGCUGAGGAGCGAAAGCGUGGGGAGCGAACAGG
rnacentral:rRNA from 1 species